GGGGAUGGCCAUAGUUCUGUGGUAGAGCAUCUGCUUUGCAUGCAAAAGAACCCAGGUUUCAAUCACUGGCAUCCGCA